AUGGGCUAUAACACAGGCCCAGAGUUUUUCCUAUAUACAUGAUAGGCUAUAACAUAGGCCCAGAGAUUUCCCCGCUUAAAUGAUAGGUAGGUUAUAACACAGGCCCAGAGUUUUUCCUAGUUACGUGAUAGGCUAUAACAUGGGCCCUAAGAUUUCCCUACUUAAAUGAUAGGUAGGUUAUAACACAGGCCCAGAGUUUUUCCUAGUUACGUGAUAGGCUAUAACAUGGGCCCAGAGAUUUCCCCGCUUAAAUGAUAGGUAGGCUAUAACACAGGCCCAGAGUUUUUCCUAUAUACAUGAUAGGCUAUAACAUGGGCCCAGAGAUUUCCCUAGUCAGGUCUGUUCAGGACAAACACCUGAUGCAAACCU
rnacentral:lncRNA from 13 species